GGUCAAAGUGACCCGAAUUAUUCGACGGAGGGAGUACUAUGUUUCAUAACUGCAUUCGGUCAAUUGUGAUGGUUCCGAGUUGUGGUUGAAGAAACUGCAAAGAUUCUUCAGAGCUUGUUGAGGAUGUAGAUCUAUUGAUCAGGAGCAGAGAGAUGCCUUGAAGUUGGAGCAGACAUGAUAAUGGUUGAUGCUGACGAUAUCUAUAGACAAGCAGAUUAUGUGAGGGCUGAUAUUAUAGCAAAAUUCAUGAGCCGGUUGGGUCUUGAAAAGACGAUAUUUGAAGCAUCAAAUCCUAAGACAUCUGAAUGGUCUAUCACACAAUAUGGUCCACGAGUAAAUCUUUUCGUGGAUCAUUCUCAAGUCCUGGAUCUGGAAUGUCUUCGAGGUUGUAACCUGGGCAAGGAUCAUCAUGUAUCUGCUCUUGGUUCAUCGUAUUACCGGUUCUAAGCAGAUGUUAUGUCAUAAAAGCUCUUCGCCAAAGUCAUGACUAGUAAAGCUUUGUAAGCAUUGAUUUGUGUUAAAUCGUUAACAGAACUUGCUCCAUCAAAUUGUAAUGUUGGUGUGUCUAAAAUUCUGCUUCUAAUAUGUCUUAAGUUAAA